rnacentral:rRNA from 1 species
UAGGGAAUUUUCGUCAAUGGGCGCAAGCCUGAACGAGCGAUGCCGCGUGAGUGAAGAAGGCCUUCGGUCGUAAAGCUCUGUUGCGGGGGAAAAAAGGCAUCUGCAGGAAAUGGUAGAUGACAGAUGGUGCCCCACCAGAAAGUCACGGCUAACUACGUGCC